AUAAUCCCAUCAAUCCCUCACUAAUCCCAUCAAUCAUCCCAUUAAUCAGUAAUCUCAUUAGUCAAUCAAUAAUCCCAUCAAAAAUCCCAUCAGUCUGUCACUAAUCCCAUCAAUCAUUCCAUUAAUCCAUCAAUAAUCCCAUCAAUCCCUCACUAAUCUCAUAAAUAAUCCCAUCAAUCAAUAAUCCCAUCAAUCCAUCAAUAAUCCCAUCAAUUAAUCACUAAUCGCAUUGAUUAGCCUAAUUUUCCUUCCAUCCCUGUGGCGUCCACCAGCCAACCCCCAAGCGUCCUACCGGGUAGCCACAGCGACACUCUCCUCCCAUUGGCUCCUGGACCUCAGGCGGCUGCAGCGGCGGCGGCAGCGGCUCAGAAUGGUUUCACAGCCCAACCGGCCACGUAUCACCACAACAGCGGAGGAAGUGGAGGUUGGAGCGGAAGUCGCGGUGCUGCAUAUCCUUCUGCCAUCCCCCAUCAUCAGAACGGUCACCUGCAGCAUCAUCCGCCUCUGCAUCCAGGGCAUUACUGUGAGUAUGGGGAAGGAAAUGGGAAGGGGAAGGGGAAGGUGGAAGGGGAAGCG